rnacentral:lncRNA from 1 species
UUGUUGUUUUUUGUUUAGCCUGUACAGCCUAUUUUAGAAUCAAUACUAUGGAUUAAUUCUAAGGCAAGAGAGUGGUAAGGGCUAAGCAAUGGGGAUUAUGUGACUUGCUCAGUCACAUAGCUAGGAAGUGUCUGAGGUCAGAUUUGAAUCCAGCACCUCCCAUCUCCAGGCCUGGUUCUCCAUCCACUGAACCAUGUUGCUGUCUCCAUAAAAGAAGCCAUGUUGAUAUAGGGAUCUUUACCCCACACUAAAACCCUCAUGAUCUAACCUCAUUAUCUAUAAGCAGACCAAGUGCUAUGUAGGUGGAGCUUUCGAGGUUUUUUCCAUCCCCCAUGCAAGAGAAGAGUAUGCUCUGAACCAGUCCCACCAAGUCUGAUCAAUAUAUAAAUAGGAUCAAUUCCUCUCAUUCUUUGCAAAGAGAGGGAAGUGAAAAGUAACCCUUGUCCAAACUGCCCUUCACUGUCAUUUUUGCUGAGAAUCACUAAUAUUUUGUCUGCUCAAAGUCCUUAAAUGUAUCUAGGAUCUCAUCGAUAGGGAUGCCUCCUCUACAUAGAUAUUAUCCAUGCCUUCCCUCCCUGCGCAUUUGUCCAUGCCCUUCCAUAAGCCCACUCCAGGAGAGCACGCCAAACCCCCUACUUUAUCCUUAUGUUAAGAAGAUGUCAGUGUAGCAGUCUGGUUAUCCUUUGGGCUCAAAAUAAGACUAUCCCAUCUAGGUUUUUUUUUUUUUUUGUUUUUUUUUUUUUAGUAUUCUGCAUCAUUUAUUUAAAUAUCUAUUUUUAUUUAUGCAUUUACAAACUUUAGUAGUACUCAUAUUGUAACUCUGCUUUCAGUACAUUUUAAAACUAUUUGCAGAGGAAUCAUCUUUUUGUUUUUUUUAAAAUGAGGUCCAUGUACAAAAACUAGGCGACAGAUAUAAAAAAUGUUUCCUUUCAUACCUUUUCAGCCAUCAGGAAAAAUAAAUCAAGUGACAAAACCA